UACGUAGGGGGCAAGCGUUGUCCGGAUUUAUUGGGCGUAAAGAGCGUGUAGGCGGCCUGAAAGGUCAGCUGUGAAAACUCGAGGCUCAACCUCGAGACGUCGGUUGAAACCAUCUGGCUAGAGUCCGGAAGAGGAGUGUGGAAUUCCUGGUGUAGCAGUGAAAUGCGUAGAUAUCAGGAGGAACACCGAUGGCGAAGGCAGGUCUCUGGGCUGACACUGACGCUCAUGCACGAAAGCGUGGGGAGCAAACAGG
rnacentral:rRNA from 1 species